rnacentral:rRNA from 1 species
UACGUAGGGGGCGAGCGUUGUCCGGAAUCACUGGGCGUAAAGGCGCGUAGGCGGCCUGCUAAGUCGGAUGUGAAAUCCCUCGGCUCAACCGAGGAACUGCAUCCGAUACUGGCGGGCUUGAAUCCGGGAGAGGGAUGUGGAAUUCCUGGUGUAGCGGUGAAAUGCGCAGAUAUCAGGAAGAACACCCGUGGCGAAAGCGGCUCUCUGGAACGGUACUGACGCUGAGACGCGAAAGCGUGGGGAGCGAACAGG